rnacentral:sRNA from 1 species
GCUGGGCUUGGUGGUAAAUGCCUGUAAUCCUAGAAACUCUGGAGGCUGAGGCAGGAGGAUUGUAAGUUCAAGGCCCAAAGCAACUUAGUGAGACCCUGUCUCAA